rfam:Triticum aestivum genome assembly, contig: Triticum_aestivum_CS42_TGACv1_scaffold_050959_1BS
UUAAUUCUCUCUCCGUCCGGAAAUACUUGUCAUCGAAAUGGAUGAAAAUGGAUGUAUCUACAACUAAAAUACAUCUAGAUACAUCCAUUUCAAUGACAAGUAUUUCCGAACGGAGGGAGCAGUAG